AUUGAACGCUGGCGGCAGGCCUAACACAUGCAAGUCGAGCGGAUGAAGGGAGCUUGCUCCUGGAUUCAGCGGCGGACGGGUGAGUAAUGCCUAGGAAUCUGCCUGGUAGUGGGGGAUAACGUCCGGAAACGGGCGCUAAUACCGCAUACGUCCUGAGGGAGAAAGUGGGGGAUCUUCGGACCUCACGCUAUCAGAUGAGCCUAGGUCGGAUUAGCUAGUUGGUGGGGUAAAGGCCUACCAAGGCGACGAUCCGUAACUGGUCUGAGAGGAUGAUCAGUCACACUGGAACUGAGACACGGUCCAGACUCCUACGGGAGGCAGCAGUGGGGAAUAUUGGACAAUGGGCGAAAGCCUGAUCCAGCCAGGCCGAGUGUGUGAAGAAGGUCUUCGGAUUGUAAAGAACUUUAAGUUGGGAGGAAGGGCAGUAAGUUAAUACCUUGCUGUUUUGACGUUACCAACAGAAUAAGCACCGGCUAACUUCGUG
rnacentral:rRNA from 1 species